UACGAAGGGUGCAAACGUUGCUCGGAAUUAUUGGGCGUAAAGCGCACGCAGGCGGUCUGUCAAGUCGGAUGUGAAAUCCCCGGGCUCAACCUGGGAACUGCAUUCGAAACUGGCAGGCUAGAGUCUUGUAGAGGGGGGUAGAAUUCCAGGUGUAGCGGUGAAAUGCGUAGAGAUCUGGAGGAAUACCGGUGGCGAAGGCGGCCCCCUGGACAAAGACUGACGCUCAGGUGCGAAAGCGUGGGGAGCAAACAGG
rnacentral:rRNA from 1 species